rnacentral:rRNA from 1 species
UGGGGAAUAUUGGGGCAAUGGGACGGAAGUCUGACCCAGCGACGCCGCGUGAGGGAAGAAGGUCUUCGGAUUGUAAACCUUAGUCAACAGGGAAGAAGCAAGUGACGGUACCUGUGGAGGAAGCCACGGCUAACUACGUGCCAGCAGCCGCGGUAAUACGUAGGUGGCGAGCGUUAUCCGGAAUUACUGGGUGUAAAGGGUGUGUAGGCGGGAUUGCAAGUCAGAUGUGAAACUUAUGGGCUCAACUCAUAACCUGCAUUUGAAACUGCGAUUCUUGAGUGUGGGAGAGGUAAGCGGAAUUCCCGGUGCAGCGGUGAAAUGCGUAGAUAUCAGGAGGAACACCAGUGGCGAAGGCGGCUUACUGGACCACAACUGACGCUGAGACACGAAAGCGUGGGGAGCAAACAGGAUUAGAUACCCUGGUAGU